CCGCAAUCGCGCCAAGUUCACCUCCGUGGCAGUCACAUAGCGCGACACCCAGUGUGACACCCACCCAGUGUGACACCCAGGCACCCAGUGGACGCCGAGGCUUCAAGACCGUUUGGUCCAUACAUUGGCGGGAGAAGGAGGCGAACCCUUGCUGCGCCUGCACAACUCCAUUCAUAUAUUCGCGCCUUCUGUUGCAUUGAGGAUAAAAAUGCGGCCUUAGUUCCCAACCGAUAUGCCAAAGAUAGACUUGCUGCUGCAGGGCUAGGGGAAAAACGGCUUACAUUCCAAGGUAUUCAUACAGAUCCAGACGACUUCGGAUAAUUUAUUUUAGAGGCAUAUCCAAAACUCCGACAAGGGGGAGCAUUUGAGCCAUGAAUGUUUGAACCAGAAUAAUGGUUUUUAAAAAAGUUCACUAAUUGGAACAGAUGUGUAUUGUUGUGAAAAUGAUUUGUUCGCAAGCAUAUUGUACAAUUAAACAAGUGUUUAAAUUGACAUCUGCUAUAAAAUAAAAAUACUGUCAG